GAUAAUCAACUGAAGUCGCCGUUUCGCCUUCCUAUCGAGGGUGAGGAUGUGAAGAAAAAAUGUGAAUCUACUCGAUGGAGGGACUUAGUUCGCCCCUCCACCUCCGAUUCUUCCGCCGCCGAGCUGACGGCAACUUCUUCCCCAAAAGUUGCCUUUCUUCCCCUCAGCAGUCCGGUCCGGAAGCGGAGGUCCGGCAGGUGCGCAGCAUGACCGGCGGGUGCUGCCUGUGACGCGACCUGUGCGCAGCCUCAGCGCCGUCACAGCCCGUAUCGACCAGAGGUAAUUCUCACAGAUCGCGCUGUCUUUCGGGCCGAGGUGACGCGUGCGGGGCCCGGUAUCUCCUCAAUCCCGGUGGCCUCGAUUCACGCGUCGGCAAACGGCGGAGAAGCGCGCGCGCACACGUCGGGGCUGUCGCUCGCGCGCUGGAUGCGUUCGGCUGGGUCUUUGGGCUGGGAAUGAAGCCUCUCUCUGAGUCUGUGGUUCUAAAAGCUGCAACCCUCCCCUCUUCUCCCCCUCUCCUCCCCUCUGCGGACCCCCCACCCCCCUUUUGCUUAUAUGGAUGACUUGUCAGACAAAGGCAAUAGAUGCCAACACUGUGUGAUUCGCCAACGCAAAAAACUGGAGGUCCAAAUGAGGAGGUCUCUGGGUCUGACACAACGACAGGAAGGGGAGGGAGAUAAAUAAGGAAUAGAUGUGGAGUUACAAAUAUCAGAGUUUAUCACUCAUUAUAUCCGCUGCGAAUAGCGUGCGCGCACACCGGAAGUUUUGAAUCAAAAGUAGAGAUUUUUUUCAAAUGUAUCUUCUACUUUUCCCGGAUUAGCAGCCUGUUUCUGGGAAUUCAACGGUCAUCUGUGUGUACAGGUCUCCGAACAAUCCGGAUUCAGCUCGAUCUUCCCACAAUUCACUUUCCUAAUUUUUCUUUUUUGACAACAUCAUCAGCUUUCCUCGGGAAAACAAGUGCACUGACUCUAUUAUAUGCAGAUGAUGUGAGAGUCGCGGUGCGUCGCCCAAACUGGAAGCAGCGACCAUACUUGGAGGUUGGAGUUGAUAUCAGUCUGGAUGCACCGUGGGAAAAGUUGAGUCCUUCACAGUCAGUAGGAACUGAACCCAUGCGAUGAAUCUGGAGCAGUUCAGCACCGCAGCUUAAUUCUCAGCCAGAGGAAACAUGGAGUAAACCAGUCAUCAACUAGAAAAGCUUUGCUUUCUUAAAGCUGUCAAGCAUUUCGAUCUCAGUUGACCGUCAGCCGGAGCUGAACCUGCGCGAGCACCGUCUGUCAGAGCCUCCAAAGCUCCGGCAGAUGGAGACCACGAGAGACUGACAAGCUACAAGUGCCUCCGACUGCUGCUCGCCAGGAGUUUGUAUCUGACAGCCGACAGUUUUAGCCCUGAGUGAUUCCGUCUUGAUGGACAGGCAGAGCCGACGCCGGAGUCACUGCAGCUUCACAUCCAGGUGAAACAACCAGCUCAUCACGGAGGGAAGUCCAAACAGAAACAGGGGUUUUCAUCAAUUUGUGUGUUUGAAAGGAUCCGUGGUUCUCACUCCCACCUCCAGACAGGCCCUGCUUUUAAAAAUGCAGCCACAUCAGCAUCAUGCGAAAACGGAGGCAUAACCAGCAGAUAAGGAAAUGAAACUGUCAUCUGACAACAAUGAAAAAUAUUCAGUUUGCCUUUUGUAUCAUACUCAAAAAGAUAAUUGAGACGGAUGAAUUAGCGGUGCCCCAAGGUCAAGCGCUCAUUGCCAGUCUAUCGUUUCACUCUGGUGAAACUGUUCCUACGGACACUUUUUCUUGAUAUUUGGUACAUGGACACCAGGAGACUGAGUGGGGGGGGGCACAAAUUGAUUGUUUGGGGAUCAGAUCAGUCACCGUCAUUUCUGGCGGAUGGAUUAAUGGGUCUGAUGGCAGUUGCAGGUUGGAGCAGAGGACUGUCUGGAGACAACGGGGACGGGCUUGAACCCCAGGGAGCUGGAUGAAUGUGGGCUUGCUUGGUUGUGUUUAGGGGGGAGGGGCUGGUGAAAAAUGUAUGGUGGAGUUCGGUGCAUCUCACUUUUGUGUCUUUUGCAUCUGAAGUGUUUGUUAAGAUAUAUGUAAACUUUCUCUCUUACAAAAAGGCUGGAUU
ensembl:lncRNA